CUCCCAAUAGCAGGCAGAAGAGUUAUCUCCAUCCAGAGGUGGCAAAGCCUUCAGGGUUCGACUCACAUUGUCUGUUCUCAAGGGACUCACACACACAAGCUAGACUGCCGAUUUGUUAAUUUGACAGAGAACUGAGACUGUCAGGAGGCUGCACUGGUCAGCACGUCCUCUCCUUCUCGAAGCAAAGCCCCUGGGGAAGCCAGGCACCAGCAGAAGGCUGAUUGGUGAAGUCACAGCCCAGCGAACCACAGGCUCUUCCCGGCGAGAGGCAGGAAGCUGGCAAGCCAGAGCGCACAGCCCCUCAGGCCUGGCGGCCCGUCUCCUGGAAAGAGGACGCCCGCCCUCCGACAUUCUCACACUUCGGAUGCUCCUGUUCUAGAAUCAACUCAUUCGACUAAAACAAUGACUGAUGACAAGUACUGCUCUAGGCCCUGGGAAUAGACGAUAACCCAAGUCGUCCAGCAGCUUCCUGUUGAGUCGGAGAGCAUGAGUGCAAAGAAUCACCAUUUGGGCAAGUUAGCAAAUCAGUCCACCGGUUACAGAAGUGUCACUCAAAGUGGAAUCCACAGGUGCGUGCUCUGGGAUAGGAUACUUCUCUAUGGAGACUUUCUCCCCUGUGUUUUCAUGGCAACGAUAAUCUAAGAAAAACAGCAUAGGAGCAUAUGCUAUUUCCUUGGGAUGGCCGCCUUGUAAGUGAGAGCUGCGGAACCAAAUCACGUACAGCACGAGACAGCCAAGGCCGGCCCAACACGGAGGCUGCUCUGCAGGCCACAGGAGGAGGGCCACCUGGUGAGACGCUAUUUAGUGUCAGUUACCACUUCAAAUUAAUGCUGCUAACUUGAGCUUUAUUGGCUUUGCAGUUUUGCUUGUAUUUCGUUUGUUUGUUUUGGUUUAUAAUAAUAUAAGUUGUAUAAGGCAUUUAUAUAUAGUUUUACACAGAUCCAAGAAACAUUUUAAUAAAAACAAUAGAGAUCAACCCUGCGUCUGUUAAGAAGAUUUUGUUCAGUUAUUUAUUUAUUUUUGCCAAGGAAGAUUAGGCCUGAGCUAACAUCUGUGCCAAUCUUCCUCUAUUUUGUAUGUAGGACACUGCCUCAGCAUGGCUGACAAGUGGUGUAGGUCUGUACCCAGGAUCCAAACCCAUGAACCUGGGCUGCUGAAGCAGAGCACACCAAACUCAACCACUACACCACAGGGCCAGCCCUAGAAAGAUUUUAUUUUUUAAAGGGCUCCUCAUAUUACUCAAAUUUGAGGAACGCUGAGUGUAGCUGACUUUAACUGCAUGCUAAGCAUGGCUACCUUGAUUAGAUGCUCUGCUGGCAACACACUGCGUUACCCAGGCAGGUGGGUAAAUUAGCCCUUUUGACUUUACUAAUUGAACUCUCAGGAAGAGAUGCCACAAACUCAGUAAAUUGACUAUACGACAAAAGUCAUGUUUAUUUCAUGUAUCAUUCCCUCUCUUCUUUCCUCCUUACUUUCUGUUAACACACAGGCGUUGUACUAGUGCUGAAAUGUAACUGAUAGAGAUACAGACAGGAAAGGAAUGACCCCUGCCUACAUGGAGCUUAUGGACCUGAGCAUUGUUUUCCAAAUGCUCCUGAUGACAACCAGCAUGUGGAGGACUAGUUAAAAUACACAUUUCCAGGCCCCACCUCAAGCUCUCUGAACUAGAUUCUCCAGGCAAGGGGUCCAAGAGGCUGUAAAUUUAGCAAACACCAUUGGUGAGUGUUAUCACGAGAAUUUUUAUGAAUUUUUCUGGUAGAUUCCACUUCUAUAAGUCGGGGGUGGCGUCUAGGAACUCUGUGGUCCUCAGGGAAGGAGGAAGUCAGUAAGCAUUUUAAGUGGGGAUAGGAGAUAAUCGUGUUCGCAUUUCAGACAGGGAUCACUCUAGCCGUGUGGGUAAGGCAUCAGUAAGAGGGAAAAUGAGAACCCUAAGCCUGCUUAGGAAGCUGCUGGGCUGCUCUGGACAGGACAUAGUGGUACCCGGACUAGACUACUGUUGUGGGAGCUGAGACAGGUGAAUAGACUCGAGAGGCAUCUAGGAGAAGAGUCAACAGGACCUACUGAGGGACUGACGUGGGGCUUAAGGGAGAGAGCAGCAUCAAAGGUGACUCCUGAAUUUCUGGGCUCGAGCUCCUGCAUGGACGGAGAGGCCCUGCACUGGGAUAGCAACAGCAGGAGAAGGAAGGCUUUGGGGCAUGGAAAGGGUCGAUCAUGAGUUUAGCUUUGGGAAAUUUGAGAUCCACAUGCCACAGGUACAUCUAAGUGGAGACAGAUGUUCAAUAUGGAGUUGUACGUAGGAAUUCUGCUCUAGACUGAGUGUUCCUAUCCCCCUAAGUUCAUAUGUUGAAACCCAAACCCCCAGUGGCAUGGUAUUUGGAAGUGGGGCCUUUGGCAGGUGAUUAGGUCAUGAAGGUGGAGCCCUUAGGAAUGGGAUUAGUGUCCUUAUAUAAAAGAGGCCCCAGAGAGCUCCCUCGUCCCUCUGCCACGUGAGGACACAGAAAGAAGACGGCUGCCUACGAACCAGGAGGAGGGCUCUUACCACAGAGUGUGCCGGCGCCUUGAUCCGGGCCUUCCAGCCCCCAGAACCGUGAGAAAUACAUGUUAUGUAGUCUAUAAGCCACCAGGCUGUGGUGUUUUUGUUGUGGCCGCCCAAACGGACUAAGACAAAUCCCUAGCUGCACAGAAGAAUCUGGGAUGGAUAUUUCCACUUUGGGAGCCAUCAGAUGAAAGAAUCCUUGAAGAUAUGACAGUGAAUAAGAUUGCCUUGAGAGUGUGUGUAUCCAUGAGAAUGGCGAAGACAAAAAGAAGUCUGAACAUUUAAAGAAGACGCUAGACAGAGACAUAUGUGGAGAAGGUAUAGCCUGGGAAGUAGAGGGAAAACCAAGAGUGAGAAGUCACUGAAACCAAAGGAAAAGAUGGCUUUCCUUUGGGGAAAUGGCCAACGCUGCAGAAUGCUGCUGAGGGUCAAAUAAGGUAAGAGCUGAAAAGUGUCCACAGGACUUGACAAGUAGGUCAUUGGCGAUCUCAGUGAGAACAGCUUCACUGGCACGGUGAAGGCGGGCGGAGAGGAGGGGGAGGUGGUAAGGAGGGCACUCUUUCAGGAAGUUUAUCUUCGAAGGGAAGGAGACAGUGUUAAGGAGCAGGAUGGGGACAGUGAGGGUUGGACAGCAUGUUCAAUGCUUAUAGGGAGGGGCAUGCAGAGAAGGAACAUUGUAGCUACAGAAGGGAGGGCGUCUGGAAGGCUGGAGGGGAGAGCAUCAGUGAAGGGAGGGCCUUGGAUGGAAGGUGGUUUGGCUCUUCCGCUGUGCGGGUGGUUGGGGGAAGGAAAGAUAGGAGGAAGAUGCUGUGUGAGCUGGCUGGCACACUGCUGGUGGGGUUGGGCACAGAGUCUGAGGUUUGAGGAGAGCAGAGCACAGGAGAGGCGACCAGCAAAACAGAGCAGGACUCUGGUGGCACUGAGGCCUGCUCAGGUUACUGCCCACGCAUGAAACACUUGGCCUGGUGGGGUCGUUUUCCUCAGGAGCACUGACCCUCUGAGUAGAAAGGCAGAGAAGGCAGAGAACUGGACCCAGCCAGGGUAGAGGGUUUUCCAGAUGAGUUUAGUGGAGGACAAAUGUAAACGGAGUUGAAGAGAUUGGUAACAGAGUGGUUGCAGUGAAGAGAAAAUUGGUGAUUUGUGACCGAGCUGGGUGGUUAAAUCUCAGUGGUUUAAUACAGCAAAGUUUACUCUUCACUCACACAGCAGGCUGAUGUGGGUGUUCCUCACUGGGUAGCUCUUCUCCAAGUAGUGACUCAAGAACCCUUGUUGCUUUCACCUGGUGCCUCUGGCAUCUUCUACGAGUGGGUCCUGACGCCACCCUGAGGUUCUCCACUCCAGUCAGCAAAAGGGCAGCAGGCAUGGGGAUGACUGUGGCCCAUGCCAGAAAGGGGCAUAUAUUGCCUGUGCCCGUGUUGUACUGACUAGGACUCGGUCACGUGACCACGCCCACGUGGCAGGGAGGCUGGGAAACAAGUGUCCGGGAUGAAGAGGAAAUAAGGCUGGUGAUCAACCAGAAGACGUCGCGACAGAGAUCAGAGUGUUAGACAGUCAUCCAUUUGGAUAUGAAGCCACCCGGGUUGAAUAAUAGAGGCUGUCGGGUGAGAGGGAUAGUGAUAAGGUGGCUGGUAAAGAUGGGGAGGUGGGGCCCGAAGGUGAAGGGCAAGAGGCUCAAAGGCAUAGGGUGGGGCCAUCUUCCCUGAGGGUGGAGGUGAAGGGUGUGGAGGCUCUGGGGACUGGGGGAUGGGCAGCUGUCACUACGCCGGCUGCAGCCUAGGGGCCAAGAAGCAUCAUUUAGAAUGAGGCUGGUCUCAGGGCCAGGGAUGGAGCCUUUAGGGAAGCAGCUGAGGAUAUGGGGGAUUUUGUUAACUGUAGAACAGGGUUGCAGAGGGAGGCAGGAAAGAAGUGUGAGGGAGAAGUCCAGAGCAGGAUGGACAGAAGGGAGAGGACGAGAAGAAAUUAUACCUGAGUAGUGAGCAAGGAUUAUAGGUGUGUAUGGAAAGGGGGAUUAAGCUGGCCCCAAAGUAGCCAAAAGAACUGGUGUCUGCCAUUCCGAGUGGAGCACUCGAGUCUCCCGGUUACAGCCCAGGUAGGUUCCUCUUCCCGCAUAAUUCAAGUCUCUGGUGGGUGAGAAGAUGCUAGUCCCUCUGGAAGGAGUCAGUGGAGAUGUGGCUGAGUGUGGAUGGAGAGAAGGGAGGCUCCGGCAGGGCUGAAGGCUGAGACUGGAGGAAGGGGGCUUUCCAAGCAGGAGGGAGCCCCAGGCCCAGGCUGGGGAAGCUCUUGGGCUCUGCUCAGAGUGCACCACGGAAUACCUGGCCCAGAGCAGGCAUGACGGUUGACUUGAAUUCCAAUAAAACACCUGAUCCUUCGGGAGGAACAGAAAGCUAUGAGCAAUGGCUCUCCACUGACAGUUUCAGAGGUGGGAGGGCUCUGAGAGUGCAGUUCAGGAACAGAACCUGCAGCCUCCCGUCUUGAAAGCAUCGUAGCAAGCGGCUACCCUGGCUUGCUGUGAUGCGGGAUGAGGUAGUUCAGUUUGCGAAAAAACAUCUUGUUGGUUUUGGAGCCAAGAAAUCAAAGCUGUAAAGACCAUAUGAUCUGUGGCAGCAGUUUCUCUUCAGAGACAGGUUUCAUAAGUAAUCAGAGUAGGAGGCCUUGUUGGGGAAGGCAUGGCUGUUUCCAAAUGCUGUUAACUGGCUCAGAGGGAGGCCAAACGCGUAUGCCUUCAACCCUUAUCUUUUGCCUAAUAUGAACAGAAGAAUUACAAUAAUGGUCAUGAUUAGUGGAGCACUUUAAAAUACCUACAUCCCAAGAAAGUGUUUCCUUUUCCUAUAUUUUGCAGAGAUAUUUUCUGAUCUGUCCCAGAUAUUCAGUGCAAUGUAUGGGAGCCAGAAAUUGCAAUAGUAGGAAGGCAGAGGGAAGAGAGAGAGAUGCACGAAGAGAAGAGAGACAAUUUAUCAAAAUUUGUGUUUUACAAUAUGAAUAAUGUCACCUCAUUUCUUUCUU
ensembl:lncRNA